rnacentral:tRNA from 1 species
GGGGAUGUAGCUCAGUAGUAGAGCGUCCGCUUUGCAUGCCGAAGGCCCGGGGUUCGAUCCCCCGCAUCUGCA